AGCUCAAAUUUGAAAUCUGGCAGUUCUUGCGACUGUCCGAGUUGUAAUUUGCAGAGGGAGCUUUCGAGUUGGCAGCGGUCUAAGUUCCUUGGAACAGGACGUCACAGAGGGUGAGAAUCCCGU
rnacentral:rRNA from 1 species